GACGAACGCUGGCGGCGUGCUUAACACAUGCAAGUCGAACGGAAAGGCCCUGCUUUUGUGGGGUGCUCGAGUGGCGAACGGGUGAGUAACACGUGAGUAACCUGCCCUUGACUUUGGGAUAACUUCAGGAAACUGGGGCUAAUACCGGAUAGGAACUCCUGCUGCAUGGUGGGGGUUGGAAAGUUUCGGCGGUUGGGGAUGGACUCGCGGCUUAUCAGCUUGUUGGUGGGGUAGUGGCUUACCAAGGCUUUGACGGGUAGCCGGCCUGAGAGGGUGACCGGCAACAUUGGGACUGAGAUACGGCCCAGACUCCUACGGGAGGCAGCAGUGGGGAAUAUUGCACAAUGGGCGGAAGCCUGAUGCAGCAACGCCGCGUGCGGGAUGACGGCCUUCGGGUUGUAAACCGCUUUCGCCUGUGACGAAGCGUGAGUGACGGUAAUGGGUAAAGAAGCACCGGCUAACUACGUG
rnacentral:rRNA from 1 species